UAAACGUUCGGGUGCAACACGCAGAAGUCUAAAGUCAAAACCAUAAACCCUUUGCAUCGCGCUGUUACCGUUCUUACGAUCCUCUUCAUAAAUGGCUUCAGCGUGCAGCAGAAUCGCGCAAAGAGCUUCUUCAUUUUCUUCCAUAAAAUCAACCAUCAAAUCCACUCUUCGCUCUUCAUCCUUCUCCAACACCGCCACCACUACUUCUCCUCUUCGCCGAUCCAUUUUAACUAGGGUUGCUCCGGAACUGAGAUGCGCGCAGUCGAUGCUGCCACUGCAUAGUGCGGUUGCGACGGCGAGGAUGGCGUCAUGCCUGAGAACAACAUCUCGGAGCUGCCGAGCGCUAUCACAGGGUACUCUCUGCUGCACCUCUCCCGGCCUCUAAUACUUACUUUUUCCUCCAUAAAAAUUCUUCAACUGCACAUAGUUAAUUGGGAGCUUGCGGGACCAGUCACUUUUGACCUACUGCCUCAUUACCAAAUGAAAUUGAUGGGACGUGAGACAUGCAUGCUGUUCUUAAGGUGGGAUAUUUUUCUUUGUUGUCCGAAGUGUUUGGAGAAUAAUAGAUAAUAGUCACCUCAUAAUUUGUGUCUAGUGUCUAUGCAUGUUUUUGAAUAAAAUUGUACAAACUCCAUUAGUAUGGAUUAAUGGAUCUUAGAUCUUCCAGUUGUCAUAGGAAUUUUAUGUUGUUUUUCACUCUUUGGCUCUUUGUUUUAUGUAAGCAUUCUUUAUUUUCUGAGUCCCAAGAAACAAACAAAAGGUUACAGUAUAGAUUUGGAGAAUCCAAUAGCGUAUUCAUGAAGAAUAUUGCCUAAGCCAUCUAGCAUAGAAUCAUCAUUUAAACUAUCACUUAAAUUCGAUUUGGAAUCUACUUUGGUAUCAAA